UCCGGAGGGUGCAAACGUUGCUCGGAAUCAUUGGGCGUAAAGCGCACGUAGGCGGCCCGGUAAGUCGGAUGUGAAAGCCCUCGGCUCAACUGAGGAAGUGCAUUCGAAACUGCUGGACUUGAGUACGGGAGAGGGAUGCGGAAUUCCCGGUGUAGAAGUGAAAUUCGUAGAUAUCGGGAGGAACACCAGUGGCGAAGGCGGCAUCCUGGACCGAUACUGACGCUGAGGUGCGAAAGCAUGGGGAGAAAACAGG
rnacentral:rRNA from 1 species